rnacentral:RNase_P_RNA from 2 species
UGAGUAAACCAGACAAUCGCUGCUGCGGGUACGCAGGAGAGGAAAGUCCGAGCUCCAUAGGGCAAGGGUGCUGGGUAAUACCCAGUCAGGGUGACCUGAAGGAAAGUGCAACAGAGAUAUACCGCCGAAGCUUUGCUUCGGUAAGGGUGGAAAGGCGAGGUAAGAGCUCACCAGCGCAUUGGCGACUUUGCGGCUAUGUAAACCCCAUCUGGAGCAAGAUCGAAUAGGGAAGCGCUUUGGGACGGCCCGUCCCGCUUCCGGGUGAAUCGCUUGAGCCUGCUGGUAACGGUAGGCCUAGAUAGAUGAUUGUCAAAUACAGAACUCGGCUUAUAGGUUUGGUCACAUA